rnacentral:misc_RNA from 1 species
GUGUUUUAUAUUUUACGUUGGAUGAUUGAUAUUCGAGUGGAUGUAAUCCUUCUGUUUCGAACACUUGAUCACUGUUAUGCUUUAACGUCUUCCCUAACUUAAACUACCUUUUCAACAAAGUUAGCCCAGCCUAGUUACAGACAAUAAAUUAUGUUAAUAGUCUUUAUAAAUUAAGGAAGCAUUACAUGAUUCUAAUAUAAUUUCUCUAAAAGUUCACUGUGGAAAGGUAAAUAGGAGAUGUCUUAGCCCAAAAAAUUAGAAAAUUUUAAUUACUAUUCACUGAAACAUUUUCUAUCUCCCGAGCAUCUUUUUGUUUUGUUGUUAAAUACAAUGCAAAUGCAUAAUUGAAGAUGUUUGCUUCAGGUAAAUUCAGUAUUAUAACGUGUGUUCUCGUGCUUGCAGCACCAUUUGUCGGUGUUAAUA